rnacentral:rRNA from 1 species
UUGAAACCCCGGUUCCCAUACAAUCACCGAAGUUAAGCAACGUCGAGCCUGGUCAGUACCUAAAUGGGUGACCGCUUGGGAAUAUCAGGUGCUGUAAG